GGGUAAAGCUGGGCGAUGUUAAGCAAAGGACUGGUGUCCUGCAGGAAGCCUAUAGCAGGGCUGCCUGCAGUGGCCUACAAGAUGGUGUCAUGCCUGCAGAUACUCCGUGGGGUGAAAAGGCGAUGAUGUACCCCAGUCCUGUGCAACUACUCACAGUCCCUCCUGUAACCCCCUUCACAGCAUCAAUGCCACGUCUAUGCAUGCUUUUCCCUGGGCAGGCACCUCCAGAUCUCACAGCUCAACUGGACAAAAAACAACCUUUCUUCAGAGCAAAAAAAGCCAGGAGACAGGACCAGCAUCAAACAGAGUUAUUUGUGUUUGCUCUGGAAGGAAAGGCACCAUGAACGUGCAGUUUCCCAGGCCAUAAGGGCAGCGAGCAUCUCUAGCCGGGCAGAUGCCACGCUCCAGCCAGCAGACCUGCGAGAGGCUUUAUCACAGCGAGCACAGCUCAUUCCCGUGCAACACAGCUGGCCGUACGUGGCUGUCCCAGAGCAGAGCCAGAUGUUCUUCAAGCAGAAGAAAUGAGGCAAGGCAGAUGUUGGCAACCUUGACGGCGCGGGAGUCCAAUUCUCUUUUUCCAUUCGCUUGAGACAAAAGAGGAAAUCAGUGUUGGAUUACAUCUCCGCAUGUGAACCGUGGAGGGGGUGAACAGAGUGUAUCAGGUCCUCAGCUAAUGCGAACCAGCGUACGGUCUCUGGUUUGCAGCACGCAAAAUGGAGGUGUCCGGUUUGUCCCUGUGCACCUUCAUCCUGGCACAGACAUCAGAUGGUGUUUUAUGGACAGCAGUCUUCUCGCUCCGUGUCCCAAAACCUCGAGAGCCAGGAGCCAGCCCAGCCAUCAGCUCCUCCAACCGCAAAACCCACCAAGACGACCUAAGACAUCUUCCUUCUCAUCCAGGCAUGUGAACAAAGCUAUUUUUGCCCACCAUGACCUGCCCAAGACACCAGUGGGAUCCCAGCCUCCAACAACCACACAUCAGGCUCAGCAGGUCUCCAAUGGAGGUAAUCGAUACAAUUCAGCAGCUGGAGCACUGCUGGGAAGAGAGGAUAGGACAGAAGACUCCUGCCAACAUUAUGGAGCCGGGCUAUACCGCAUUUCAUGUGAGGAUUUGUAAUUGCCUCUCACAAGGGACUGAAAAGCGAGAAAUGGGCUCCGCCAGGAGCAACUACCAGGAUGCCAGUGAUACCCUCGUCCCAGGGCCGUGGUUUAUGAGCAUCAGCAAGGGAGGAACGCUCACCACGUGGGACCACAGGCUCCUGAGGCCGAAACGUGGCAGGUGAAGAGAAUUGUAAAGGACUGGGCUGAAUCUGAGGAAAACUCAUCAGGUCAGGUCCACGUGCCAGCUUUGUUGCACUACUGAUACGAUGAAAAGUCGUAAAACUUCACCUGGUCCCAUGCUGACUUCAGCAGCCAUAAAUCUGUGCCCCCUUUCUAUUUCAAGGGGCUGAGGAUGCCCCCAAUUCAGGGCAAGAAGGAGCAGUUAAUUGGAUAACAAGGCAGGCCAUCAACAGAGAAACUUGCCUUGGGUCUUUUAUCUCCAGCACCUUCCCCAGGAACUCGGAGGACACAGCCAGCUCCUGCAGUGUCACACCACCCCAAUGCACACGAGGAAGCUGUUUCCCACACCGGGUAGGUGGCAUAAGGAGACCUUUUCAUCACAUCUUCAAGCUGCCCCAAGACCUCUGUGGGCUCAUGGAUGGGCACAAAAGGAGGAAGAUGUACACCUGGAAGACCCAGAAGGUGGGUCCGUUCUGGCUCCGGCAGAAGAAACACCACCAGAUGCUGCGAGUCUGGGAUGAUUUCUUGGAGACCUAUCUGUAGGUGCUCCUGCUGAAGUUCCCACGUCUGCAUCCAGGACAAACGUUGGAGAAGGGGGAUUUUCCCCUCCCGCUCAUGCGACAGCCUCCCUGCCUCCUCUUAGUCUGGUCUGCGGCAUACAUCGGGAUGGGAAAGCUUGUCCAUAUCAGCAGGUCCCUGCGUUCAUGUCAUGGUUUGGCUCCUGCCGUGUUGUGUUUGGCCUCAGCACAACAUCAUCAU